AGUCUAACCCGCCAGGCGUGGCUUGCUGAACUAACCCAAAUCCUGACACUGUGUUCCUUUUGUUCACAAAACCAUUUUUAAUAUUUUGACAGGAAAAGUAAAGGUAUCAAACAAAAGCAGAUCAUUCCAAAGAACCUACUGGACUCCAAGUCCCUGAAACUCAUCAUCAGCAUGACCCUGCACGACCGCACCACCAAGUCCCUACUGCACCUGCACAAGAAGA
rnacentral:sRNA from 1 species